rnacentral:lncRNA from 1 species
AGUCCACUCCAUGAAGAGGGAGGCCUUGACACACAAGAGAAAGAAGUAGUGAAGUCUGAGCAAGGAUCUGCCCCCGGCUCCCUGCACCUGCCUCCUAGAGCUACACAGAUGGUAGGUGCUGGCUCCACCCGGCCUGACACCCAUUAGGGUAUCCAGGACCCACUUGUUACCUCCCCUACCAAUGGUGCCGCUUGAUUUCAUCUAGAACAAUCAACAUCACCACCCCCUGUGGAUUCUGGGAAAAAGACACUGUUUUCCCAUUAUGCAUGUGUGUAUGUAUGCGUGUAUGGGGACAGUGUGAUCACACAGGACCUUCUCUAGCCACCCAUCCGUGAAUGUUGAGAGAAGACCUCUGAAGUCCCCAAGCAAAGCACUCCAAAAGCCACAGAGCUGUCUGCGAGUCACAUGGCCAAACCUACUGGAAGCACCCAGGCAAGGGCUCCCAUCCCAACACAGAGAGCAGUCCCGGGAAGGUGGCCAGGGACUGGGGAGCGGCAUUCUCUCCGGAGUUCGGCAGCCCAGCAGUUAACAGGCUCGGGCUGGGCAAGCAACGAACUGCCACCAACAACCUCGGGAAUUAAAGCGCCCGCUGCCUCCUGCUGAAACCUCUUCAAUAAACGGUCCUAUUCAGAACCA